GAUGAACGCUGGCGGCGUGCCUAAUACAUGCAAGUCGAGCGAACAGACGAGGAGCUUGCUCCUCUGACGUUAGCGGCGGACGGGUGAGUAACACGUGGAUAACCUACCUAUAAGACUGGGAUAACUUCGGGAAACCGGAGCUAAUACCGGAUAAUAUAUUGAACCGCAUGGUUCAAUAGUGAAAGACGGUUUUGCUGUCACUUAUAGAUGGAUCCGCGCCGCAUUAGCUAGUUGGUAAGGUAACGGCUUACCAAGGCAACGAUGCGUAGCCGACCUGAGAGGGUGAUCGGCCACACUGGAACUAAGACACGGUCCAGACUCCUACGGGAGGCAGCAGAAGGAAUCUUCCGCAAUGGGCGAAAGCCUGACGGAGCAACGCCGCGUGAGUGAUGAAGGUCUUCGGAUCGUAAAACUCUGUUAUUAGGGAAGAACAAAUGUGUAAGUAACUAUGCACGUCUUGACGGUACCUAAUCAGAAAGCCACGGCUAACUACGUG
rnacentral:rRNA from 1 species